rnacentral:rRNA from 1 species
GACGAACGCUGGCGGCGUGCUUAACACAUGCGAGUCGAACGGAAAGGCCCUGCUUUUGUGGGGUGCUCGAGUGGCGAACGGGUGAGUAACACGUGAGUAACCUGCCCUUGACUUUGGGAUAACUUCAGGAAACUGGGGCUAAUACCGGAUAGGAGCUCCUGCUGCAUGGUGGGGGUUGGAAAGUUUCGGCGGUUGGGGAUGGACUCGCGGCUUAUCAGCUUGUUGGUGGGGUAGUGGCUUACCAAGGCUUUGACGGGUAGUCGGCCUGAGAGGGUGACCGGCCACAUUGGGACUGAGAUACGGCCCAGACUCCUACGGGAGGCAGCAGUGGGGAAUAUUGCACAAUGGGCGGAAGCCUGAUGCAGCAACGCCGCGUGCGGGAUGACGGCCUUCGGGUUGUAAACCGCUUUCGCCUGUGACGAAGCGUGAGUGACGGUAAUGGGUAAAGAAGCACCGGCUAACUACGUG